UAGUGGCGAACGGGUGAGUAACACGUGGGCAAUCUGCCCUUCACUCUGGGACAAGCCCUGGAAACGGGGUCUAAUACCGGAUAAUACCUGCCUGGGCAUCUGGGUGGGUUGAAAGCUCCGGCGGUGAAGGAUGAGCCCGCGGCCUAUCAGCUUGUUGGUGAGGUAGUGGCUCACCAAGGCGACGACGGGUAGCCGGCCUGAGAGGGCGACCGGCCACACUGGGACUGAGACACGGCCCAGACUCCUACGGGAGGCAGCAGUGGGGAAUAUUGCACAAUGGGCGAAAGCCUGAUGCAGCGACGCCGCGUGAGGGAUGACGGCCUUCGGGUUGUAAACCUCUUUCAGCAGGGAAGAAGCGAGAGUGACGGUACCUGCAGAAGAAGCGCCGGCUAACUACGUGCCAGCAGCCGCGGUAAUACGUAGGGCGCAAGCGUUGUCCGGAAUUAUUGGGCGUAAAGAGCUCGUAGGCGGCUUGUCACGUCGGGUGUGAAAGCCCGGGGCUUAACCCCGGGUCUGCAUUCGAUACGGGCUAGCUAGAGUGUGGUAGGGGAGAUCGGAAUUCCU
rnacentral:rRNA from 35 species